rnacentral:rRNA from 1 species
GCAGUAUCACGCUAGUUGGUGAGGUAACGGCUCACCAAGGCUACGACGCUUAGGGGACCUGAGAGGGUGACCCCCGCCGAUGAAACUGAGACACGGUUCAUACCCCUACGGGGGGCUGCAGCCGAGAAUAUUCGACAAUGGGCGAAAGCCUGAUCGAGCGAUACCGCGUGGUGGAUGAAGCGAUUCGUCGCGUAAACAUCUUUUAUGAGGGAGGAAGUUAUUGACGUUACCUCAUGAAUAAGGGGCUCCUAACUCUGUGCCAGCAGGAGCGGUAAUACAGAGGCCUCAAGCGUUACCCGGAAUUACUGGGCGUAAAGGGUGUGUAGGUGGUCGUAUUAGUCGUUUGUUAAAGACCCAGGCUCAACCUGGGGACUGCGGGCGAAACGGUACGACUAGAGGGUGUGAGGGGUACAGGGAACUCUAGGUGUAGGGGUGAAAUCCGUUGAUAUCUAGGGGAACACCGAAAGCGAAGGCACUGUACUGG